AUUGAACGCUGGCGGCAGGCCUAACACAUGCAAGUCGAGCGCGAAAGUUCUUCGGAAUGAGUAAAGCGGCGGACGGGUGAGUAAUACAUGGGAAUCUGCCUGGUAGUGGGGGACAACGUUUCGAAAGGAACGCUAAUACCGCAUACGCCCUACGGGGGAAAGGGGGGGAGUCUUCGGACCUCUCGCUAUCAGAUGAGCCC
rnacentral:rRNA from 1 species